rfam:TPA: Bos taurus chromosome 6, whole genome shotgun sequence.
UCUCUGGUGGUCCAGUGGUUAAGACUUUACCUUCCAAUGCAGAGAGUGCAGGUUCAAUUCCUGGCCAGGGAA